GGAGCUGUAGCUGAUUGGUAAAGCACUUGCCUUGCAGGCGUGAGACACUGGGUUCAAUCCUCAGCACCA
rnacentral:tRNA from 1 species